GUCGGUGUGGCUCAGUUGGUUAGAGCGUUGGUCUCAUAUCGUAAAUGUGACUUGGCCUGUAGGUCAGGGACAUCCAAAGGUCGAGAGUUCGAGCCUCUCCACCGACA